rnacentral:rRNA from 1 species
UUAGUGGCGGACGGGUGAGUAACGCGUGGAAAACCUGCCGUAUACUGGGGGAUAACACUUAGAAAUAGGUGCUAAUACCGCAUAAGCGCACAGCUUCGCAUGAAGCGGUGUGAAAAACUCUGGUGGUAUACGAUGGUCCCGCGUCUGAUUAGCUAGUUGGUGGGGUAAUGGCCUACCAAGGCAACGAUCAGUAGCCGGCCUGGGAGGGUGAACGGCCACAUUGGGACUGAGACACGGCCCAAACUCCUACGGGAGGCAGCAG